GACGGAGGAUGCAAGUGUUAUCCGGAAUCACUGGGCGUAAAGCGUCUGUAGGUGGUUUAAAAAGUCUGCUGUUAAAAAUUGAAGCUUAACUUCAAGGAUGCCGUAGAAACUUUUAAACUUGAGUAUGGUAGGGGUAGAGGGAAUUUCCAGUGGAGCGGUGAAAUGCGUAGAUCUUGGAAAGACCACCAAUGGCGAAGGCACUCUACUGGGCCAUUACUGACACUGAGAGACGAAAGCUAGGGGAGCGAAUGGG
rnacentral:rRNA from 1 species